AAAGACUCAACGGUAUUCCAGGAUAAAAAGCUGAACUACAGUGAGUUCUGUGCAAUGAUGAACAGAAGAAAAUCAGAUACACAAAAUCAGGAGAAAGACGGAGCAAUACCUAAGGAGAGCUGGGAGCCCUUGACUGAACAUGGAAAUCCAUGCCGCAGAUAUGCUCCACUGGAGAAAGAAGACGACUAAUGGAAAUUUU